GAUAACCUAAUGUCAAGCCCUUUCCCUUCCCCCGUUCUCUCUCUAUCUCAUCAUCUCACCUCUCUCCUACCUUCAUCCCACCUCCAACCAUUAACACUCGCCAAUGUCCAGCUCAUCGAUGAUGAAUCGAAGAAACAACAAACCGACAGUGUGAUUUGGAUUUACAGAUCGAUUAUAUUCCUUUCAUGUCGUCUCAAUCGUCUAAUCCCUUAAGAAUUGAAGAAGAAGAAGCUUCGGAAAAUUUCUCCAUCGUCUUCUCACAAUGCUUUCGUCAUUAAUGCUAUUUUGUUUCUGUUAUCGUCAACUGGUUGAUAUGAUUGUUGUUAUAGAUGGAAGGAGAAUAAUGGGUCUUGGUGAUCUAGGAGUUCAGGGUAUUGGAAUUGCAAUUGGGAAGUUGGAUUUAUAUGUUGCUGCAGCUGGAAUAAAUCCUCAGAGAGUUCUUCCUAUCAUGAUUAAUGUUGGAACCAACAAUUAAAACCUUCUAGAAAAUCCCUUGUAUUUUGAAGAAUUUUUGGAAAAUAUUGAAGAGGUGAAAAGUGAUAAAUUGAAGAAAAUAUGGAAAUGUUGAUAUGAAGAAAUGAUAACACUGUGAAUCUUUGAAUUUUUUUUUAUAUUUUAUUUUGUAUCGAAUAAAAUAAUUGUAUUAUGUUUAUAGAUUGAUUAAUAAAAAUGAGAUUUUUUAUAA